AGAGUGAGGAAUGCCGAUAACCAGCUGGUAGCUGAGUGACUGGAGAACUGUGCUGUUUCUUCUCAUCUGCUGCUCUCCUGGAUGCCAUGCUGCGCCCUCUGCUCACCUCCGCAAUCCUUCUUUACCCCUCAGAGCAUCCAUUAGUGCUCUUCCCAGUCUACUUUUGCCUUUGCCACAUGAAAGAAUGGAGCCUGGAGUUGGUUCUGAGACUCGCACAGGUACGUGUAGGUGGGGAAUGUUUGGGACAGUAUUGUGUCCAUCAACUGAGGUGUCUAUGGAAGGCCAGGUCCUUCUCCGAGGGCCAUGCAUGACCCAAUGGCUUUGAGUCAGGAUUCUCAGGACCCAGGAAUGAGGCAUAGCUAAUGUUGGAUAAGGCAGGCCAUCCAUUCACUCACUCAUUCAUUAACUCAUUCAGCCAUUCAGCCAUUUAUUUGCUCAUUAGCUCAUUCAAUCAUUUAGUCAUUUACUCACUCAUUAACUCAUUCAGCCCUUUAGUCAUUCAGUCGUUCAGUCAUUAACUCGUUCACUCGUUCAGUCAUUUGCUUGCUCAUUAACUCGUUCAUUCACUUACUCAUUCAGUCAUUUACAUAUUCAGUCAUUUAUUCACUCAUUCAGUCAUUCACUUAUUCAUUCACUCCUUUAGUC
rnacentral:lncRNA from 1 species